GCCGGGUGUGAUGGCACAUACCUGUAGUCCUAGCUACUUGGGAGGCUGAGGUGGGAGGACUGCUUGAGCCCAGGAGGUUGAGGCUGUAGUGCGCAAUGAUUAUGCCACUGCACUCCAGCCUGGGUGACAGGGCAAGACCCUGCCUCAA
rnacentral:SRP_RNA from 1 species